GACAAACUAAUCAGCAACAUCCGACUAAAUUUUACCAAAUAGUUAAAAUUAACAGACUACUAUAAACAGCUAAACUAAAACAGCCUCCUAAUCACUCUAAUAGCAGAUAAAUAGCCAAACAGACAUAAAAAUACAAAACUGUAAAACUUUUUGUGAACUACUGUUGCAAAACUGUAACUAUGAGGUAGCAAUGUUCAUAAAAAUACAAUAAUAAAAAAAUAACUCAACUUGCGUAAAAAUCCCAUGUAAAACUUUUUGUAAACUACUGUUGCAAAACUGUAACUAUGAGGUAGCAAUGUGUUGACAAGUUCAUACUUUCUGGUAUCAGUGGGCUGAAUACAGUUUUCUUGAAGGCUACAUAUG
rnacentral:lncRNA from 1 species